AUUCCCUCCGGGGACAUCUGAUAAAAUUGGAACUAUAUAGAGAAGAUUAAGAUAACCCCUUCACAAGUUCUCGGUCCAAAUUUUGCUCAUAGAUACAUUUCU